rnacentral:rRNA from 1 species
AGCGAACGUUUGCGGCGGGCCUAACACAUGCAAGUCGAACGCACUAGCAAUAGUGAGUGGCGCACGGGUGCGUAACACGUGGGUAAUCAACCCUUCAGCCUGGGAUAACGACUCGAAAGGGUCGCUAAUACCGGAUACGGCGCGAGAGGCUUCGGCUUCUCACGAGAAAGCCACGCAAGGGGCACUGAAGGACGAGCCUGCGGCCCAUCAGCUAGUUGGUGAGGUAAGAGCUCACCAAGGCUAAGACGGGUAGCUGGUCUGAGAGGAUGAUCAGCCACACUGGAACUGAGACACGGUCCAGACUCCUACGGGAGGCAGCAGUGAGGAAUAUUGCGCAAUGGGCGAAAGCCUGACGCAGCCACGCCGCGUGAGCGAUGAAGGCCUUCGGUCGU